rnacentral:rRNA from 1 species
UACGGAGGGUGCGAGCGUUGUUCGGAAUCAUUGGGCGUAAAGCGAGCGUAGGCGGAUUUAAAGGUCGGGUGUGAAAUCCCAGGGCUCAACCCUGGAACUGCGCUCGAAACCAUAAGUCUAGAAUCCUGGAGAGGGUAGCGGAAUUGUCGGUGUAGAGGUGAAAUUCGUAGAUAUCGGCAAGAACACCAGCGGCGAAGGCGGCUACCUGGACGGAGAUUGACGCUGAGGCUCGAAAGCGUGGGGAGCAAACAGG